rfam:Bacteroidales bacterium WCE2004 genome assembly, contig: Ga0070256_11
AAGGUGGAGCGAUCUGUCGCCCGCAAGGGAGGAAAGUCCGGACAGGACAGGGCAUCCCGCUGCGGAAAGCGCAGGUGGGGGUAACCUCACGCCAGCCGUAACAGAAAAUGACCGCCAUCCUCGGAUGGUAAGGGUGAAAACGCGGGGUAAGAGCCCACGACGCACGGCAGCGAUGUCGUGUGGGUACGGCACCGGGACCUGCAAGACCAAAUAUACUGGCAGACGAGGACGGCCCGUCCGAUGCCAGGGGGUAGGUUGCGAAGAUAAAUGACAGAGAAUCAGUGAACAGAAACCGGCUUACGGCUCCACCUUUUCU